CAGGUGUGGAGAUUUGGCCUUCACUUCCAGUUCAUUCAGCGAUCUGUGCCACCUUGGCAAACCAGCCAUGCUGCCCUAUUGAGAUUAUCAGAAGCUUGAGGCACAAGUCAUCCUUCAUUCAUGCGACUGUUGUUCAUUGAGAAGCUAUGACAUUGUCAUCACUUCGUUAGUAUGGAAGAAUUUGAAGAUGACUAGUACAGUCAAGGAGCUUGGGCCAUAAUUUGUAGUGUUUUAUCAUUUAUAAAUAAACGUUCUUACCCAUUAA